AAAUGUUAUUAGUUUAACUUUUGUAUUCUGAGCUUUGCAUAAAUUUGCCUUUGGAGUUCCAUAAAAAUAGAAUUCUUUUUCUCAAGGGCAAUGUUGAACCCACAAAACAAUUUUAAGAUCUUUAAUAUUCCAGUUGUUUGCCUCCUAGAAAUUAUAGCUAUGUCUUAUCAGUUCUUUACCAAGUAGAAAUUUUAACAUUUUUAAGGUCAUAACCCACUUUUGACCAAACUGAAAGACACUUUCUAAACAAAUUCUUGGUUUCUGAUUUCAAAGGAAGUUCAUACUUACUUUUCCUUUCAAAAUCCACAUGAAGCCUACUUUAUUACAAUAUAAAGUUACACUUUCAGAGUUGAGGGAAACAGACUUUUCAUACAUAUUUUAUCAGUGACAGCGGUAGAACACAUUUUAUCUUUUCUUUUAAAUCUCAAGUGUGGAGUUUCGGGGCCUCAUUUAAGUACCACAGAAGCCAUCCUGUCUUCAUACUUUAUUCUCUGGUCCUUAGUAACCUAAAUUACUUUGUUUCCUUUCACUGAACUCUACCUAAUCUAUAGUCUUGGACAUUCAAAAUUAAAACCCUUAUCUGUAAUCUUGGAAAACAAAAUGGGACAUCUUUAGCAAAUAUAGAGAAAGGGAGAUGUGGAAAUUUGGAAGAAUUUUAUCUUUUCAUGAAAGCAUAAAGACUGCAAUACUUAGACCAAAAACAAACAAGUAGCCAUGUGAAGAAAAUGCGAAAUGUUUAUCUCAGAACUGAGUUCUGCAACAUAAAAAUCUGUAGAAACCAUUUAGGACUACAGACAUUUUUAAAAGUGUAUGCACUUCAGUAGAGCAAAACCAGAAAUUAAUUUAAGCUUAUUAUUGGUAAUAUUAGUGUUAAUAUUUAAGUUUUAAAAUUA
rnacentral:lncRNA from 1 species